rnacentral:rRNA from 1 species
CAAACGGGUGCGGAACACGUACACAACUUCCUUUUGGUGGGGGAUAGCCCAGAGAAAUUUGGAUUAAUACCCCGUAGUAUAACAACAGGGCAUCUUGUUGUUAUUAAAGAUUUAUUGCCAGGAGAUGGGUGUGCGUCUGAUUAGGUAGUUGGUAGGGGUAACGGCCCACCAAGCCAACGAUCAGUAACUGGUGUGAGAGCACGACCAGUCACACGGGCACUGAGACACGGGCCCGACUCCUACGGGAGGCAGCAGUAAGGAAUAUUGGUCAAUGGACGCAAGUCUGAACCAGCCAUGCCGCGUGGAGGAUGAAGGUCCUCUGGAUUGUAAACUUCUUUUAUCUGGGACAGAAAUGCAUUUUUUCUACAAGUGUUUGACGGUACCAGAUGAAUAAGCACCGGCUAACUCCGUGCCAGCCGCC